CCAUUUUUUGUUGGAUGUCCUACAGAGAGUACAGAGCCUGUUAUGCAUUAUGCAGACUCAUUCUUCAUAUAAUAUGUACAGUGUUUAGUCAAAGUAUUCACCCCUGUAUUUUUCCUGUUUUGUGGUAUUACAACCCCCUAUGUGCAAUGUCACAUGAUAAGAGUAUAAAUACAUCUGUUCUGAAAGGCCACUGAGUCUGCAGAACUUCUGUGUUCCUUGGUAACUAUGAUUCUGUGCAGAUGCUGAACAGCAACUGGACACGUACGAGAGAUGCAUAGAUACAAGCAGCAGAAUCCUCUGUAUGUGCACAUGUCCUGGACCUUUCCAUAUGCUGUUCAGUGCCUGUGAAAAAUUGCAGGUACCCAGUAACAGCACAAGGAAACGGCACUUCCAUACUGCAGCCCAUGGACGUAUGGCACGAGAGUAUGUUUGUUCAAUUGAUACCAGGGCAACUGGAAGACUAUGCAUUCAUGUAUGCUUGCAUGGAGUAUACAUGCAUUUUAAGAAAUGCCAUGGGAAACUGAAAAGCAAAAGAAAACAUGUUUGGAGGCCACCAAAUGCAGCGAGCACCUGAGGAGCCGGUCCAGAGAUUAGGAGUGGUAGUGGCUCUGAUGAGAUGUGUCAGUGUACUCCCUCGGGUCAUUGCUCCCUGAGGAUCGGUGCAGCGGAAAGGUAGUUUGAAGAAUCAGGCCAGAAGUAAAAGGAUAACAGUCUCUCUUUACUUAGUGCAAAAUAUAACUUGUAGUACAUUCAGCAGUAGUAGGUACAAAGUGCAGUUUCUAUCACCAGGUGAUGAGGUAUGGUGGCUGGUAACAUGGCAAUUAAAUGGCACUUGUGAUGGGUGUCUGAACUAUAGUCCCUCACCUUCAGCAGGGUCUUUAAACCUGUGGUUCUGCUGAUCACUCUGCUGUCUAGGCACACUGAAGUUCUUUAAAAGCAGUGUUCUUGACUCUUCCUGUAGUAAAGGUCUCACAGGAGAACUGGUUACAAUCUCUCGGAGAAGGUGCUUUAGCAUGUGCUUCCUAUCUCCUCUCUAUCUGGACUCGAACUCCCCCUCCCAGCAGGAAGCAGGACCAGCCCACUCCCACCAAGAGGGGUGGAAAAGGGUGGUGAGCCCUGUUCCUGCCAACCAUACUCAUUCUCUGGAGUACAAAGCAGAAACAGAAUAUAACAUUACAAAUCAUAAGAAAAUUGCAGAUACCCUGGAACAAACCACAUGUAGCAGACUCCCCAAACACAUACAAGAAGGGCCUCUGGUUAGAUGAGACUAAAAAUGAACUUUCAAUUGGCCAUCAUGGGAAAUGCUGUGUGUGGUGUAAACCUAACAGUUCCUGUAACCCCAAGGUAGUUUAUCAUAAUAUCAUGCUAUGGGAAUGCUUUUCAUCUGCAGGGACUGGAAAACUGGACUGAAGGAAAUAUGGAUUACAGUAAAUACAGGACAAUUCAUGAAGAAGACUUGUUUCAGUCUGCCAGCGAUUUAGGGUAGAGGUUCACCUUCUAGGCAAAUGUCUUGGACUGGCCUUGUCAAAGCCUAGACCACAAUCCAAUUGAGAAUCUGUCAUGACUUGAAGACUUGGACACAGCUCAUCUAACUUGCAGGAUAUGGAGCAGUUUUGCGUGAACAAUGGGAAAAAAGAGAUGUCUAGUGCUUUUACUAUAGUCUGGAGUCAAGGGUUUGGCUCAUCAAUUGCACUGCCCUAUCUGUCACUGAAUAUGCAAAGGGAAAUCUGUCACCUCUGUUUCAAGUUGACCCGGAAAGCAACAUUUUGAUGCAGCUCUGGCUGCAAAUGGAGUGACUGAAACAUAUGAUCAGUCUGCAAUAUAAUACUAAUUUUCAACACAGCCAAAAGCAUAGCUCCAUUCCAAGUAUAGUGGCUAUGCUCUCCAGUUAUGGUUGUACUGUGUUAUCGUUAUCUUUCCAAUCACUAAAAGAAAGGGAGGUGCAUCUAUCUUAGUGGUCAGACACCAGACAAUCCAUGGAAAUGAUAUUUGACAUCAUCACACUCAGCCAUGUAACAUUGAAUGG